GAUGAACGCUGGCGGCGUGCCUAAUACAUGCAAGUCGAACGGAGAACUUUUGUAGCAAUACGUAGGUUUCUUAGUGGCGAACGGGUGAGUAACGCGUUGGUGACCUGCCCCAAAGUGUGGGAUAACAGUCCGAAAGGAUUGCUAAUACCGCAUGUGGCCAUCGGGUUUAGAAACCGAUGUCUAAAGCCGCAAGGCGCUUUGGGAGGGACCUGCGUCCCAUCAGCUAGUUGGCGAGGUAACGGCUCACCAAGGCUACGACGGGUAGGGGGCCUGAGAGGGUGGCCCCCCACAAUGGAACUGAAACACGGUCCAUACACCUACGGGUGGCAGCAGUAGGGAAUAUUGCACAAUGGGCGAAAGCCUGAUGCAGCAACGCCGCGUGAGCGAUGAAGGCCUUCGGGUCGUAAAGCUCUUUUCUGGGAGAUGAGAAAGGACAGUACCCCAGGAAUAAGUCUCGGCUAACUACGUGCCAGCCGCCGCUGUAACAC
rnacentral:rRNA from 1 species